rnacentral:rRNA from 1 species
AGUGAACGCUGGCGGUAGGCCUAACACAUGCAAGUCGAACGGCAGCACAGUAAGAGCUUGCUCUUACGGGUGGCGAGUGGCGGACGGGUGAGGAAUACAUCGGAAUCUACUUUUUCGUGGGGGAUAACGUAGGGAAACUUACGCUAAUACCGCAUACGACCUACGGGUGAAAGCAGGGGAUCUUCGGACCUUUCGCGAUUGAAUGAGCCGAUGUCGGAUUAGCUAGUUGGCGGGGUAAAGGCCCACCAAGGCGACGAUCCGUAGCUGGUCUGAGAGGAUGAUCAGCCACACUGGAACUGAGACACGGUCCAGACUCCUACGGGAGGCAGCAGUGGGGAAUAUUGGACCAUGGGCGCAAGCCUGAUCCAGCCAUACCGCGUGGGUGAAGAAGGCCUUCGGGUUGUAAAGCCCUUUUGUUGGGAAAGAAAAGCAGCAGGUUAAUACCCCGCUGUUCUGACGGUACCCAAAGAAUAAGCACCGGCUAACUUCGUG